rnacentral:tRNA from 1 species
GCUUUCUUAGCUCAGUGGUAGAGCGUGUGGCUUUUAACCACGUGGUCGUGGGUUCGAUCCCCAUAGAAGGUG